GGAAUACAAGCGAUAGGCCCUUUGGAUCUUCUGCACAAUAAGGCGACGCAGCGCAAUACGGACGCGCAGCGUUGAACGUCAACCAUGACUUGUCGGUGACAGAUCUCAAACAAUGACAUCAGCACCAUACGAAUGAAAUCAUACUCUCGUGAUAGUGAAGUAAUGAUGAAAAGUUACAUAUUUAUGUCCAAUAAUUGCGUUUUGUACAACUAUAAGGUUUAUAAACUGAAUUCGAUAAAUUAGUAAUCCUAUAGUUGAGUAUUGGCAAAUCAAAUAUUUACUCUAAAGUGAUCUUACAUACUAAAUUAAAUACUAAAUAGUACGGAAUCUGCUCUAACCUCUAAAGCCAAGGCUGGAAUUAAAGUUGGAUUGUUCGGAUAGUUGGUAAACUAAUUUUCGAGUUAGCGGAAAAACCGAACUACGAAACCGUUUUUUAACACAGGUGUUAAU